GGGCCCGCACAAGCGGUGGAGCAUGUGGUUUAAUUCGAUGAUACGCGAGGAACCUUACCAGGGCUUAAAUGUAGGUUGCAUGAUCUAGAGAUAGAUCUUUCUUCGGACUACCUACAAGGUGCUGCAUGGUUGUCGUCAGCUCGUGCCGUGAGGUGUCAGGUUAAGUCCUAUAACGAGCGCAACCCCUGUCGUUAGUUACCAGCAAUUAAAGUUGGGUACUCUAGCGAGACUGCCGGUGCAAACCGUGAGGAAGGUGGGGAUGACGUCAAAUCAUCACGGCCCUUACGUCCUGGGCUACACACGUGCUACAAUGGCCGGUACAGAGAGCAGCCACUACGCGAGUAGGAGCGAAUCUUCAAAGCCGAUCUCAGUUCGGAUUGGAGUCUGCAACUCGACUCUAUGAAGCUGGAAUC
rnacentral:rRNA from 1 species